rnacentral:rRNA from 1 species
AUGACUUCGCCGCCGGCGCCUGGGAGGUCGGAGCACGCCGGCGGUGGCGGCCAGUUCCACGUGCUCAACUCCAGCAGCGGCGGCGGCUCUGACGCUGGGCAGACCAACGGCGCGGCGUAUCGGCAGCAGCUGCCUUCUCCACGGGCCGCUGCACCCGCCAACGCCGCGGCGUACCGGCAGCUGCCGUCUCCACGAGCCGCCUCUCCUGCCAACGCCGUCACGCAAGGUAACGGCGUGACGGCGUAUCGGCAGCUCCCGUCUCCGCGAGCCGCCGCUCCAGUGAACGGCGCGACGGCGUUUCGGCAGCUUCCGUCUCCGCGAGCCGCCGCUCCGGCGAAAGGCGUCGCACAAGCGAACGGCGCGGCGGUGCAUCGGCAGGUUCCGUCUCUGCGAGCCGCCGCUCCGGCGAAAGGCGUCGCGCAAGCCAGCGGCCGGCAGCUUCCGUCUCCGCGAGCCGCCGCUCCAGCGAACGGCGCCGCACAAGCAAACGGCGCGACGGCGUAUCGGCAGCUUCCGUCCCCGCGAGCCACCGCUCCAGCGAACGGCGUCGCGCAAGGGAACGGCAUGGCGGCGUAUCGGCAGCUGCCGUCUCCGCGAGCGACCGCCCCGACGAACAGCGCGACGGCGUAUCGGCAGGUGCCGUCUCCGCGGGCCGACGCCUCGGCAUUGUGGCGUUCGACGCCGGUGCGCGCCAUGACCACCUACGGCCCUCCGGCCACCGGUGCCGCCCCGCCGGUGCCCAUAGCCAUGCGGGCUCCGUCCACGCAGUCGAUGCCGUCGCCGCACCUGCUGCAGCAGCUCAUGGUCUUGGCGGGGUGGGGCGCUUCUUCCAGACCGCCGUGGCUGCAGAGCUACGUGCAGGGCACGCCGCCGCCGUUCUCCACCUCAGGGAGAGGCCGUGGGAUGCAACAACCUUUUGCGUCUUCACGGAUACCACGGAUACCGGGGGCUAGCGCCAGCGGCACCACCGUAACCGUGCAGAGAGACGCCGGCGGCGAUCAUCUUCCCAAGGAUACUGGCGCUGGCCGCGGCAAACCCGCGAGCGAGAGGUCGCUCCAGAUCGUCCCUGCUGACGAUGGUGCCGGGCCCAGCAAGAACGUGCCACCGAUCGGCGGCAACGGCGAUGGGGCUGGCAAGAACGUGACGCCGGUCGCCGGCGGCAACGGCGAUACCGCCGUGGCGCUUCUGGGCCCUGUGCUUGCUAUUCCGUCCACCGGCGUCGUCCGCAAAGGGAAGGCCGCCGCUAAAUCGCCGAACGGACGCCUACGGAAGCCGCGCGCGCCCAAGGGGAGCAGCACUCUGGCGGGACCCAAGAAGGUCCCCGGCAGGAAACCCGCCGCCGACAAACCGGCGCCCACGAACCCCGGCGCCCAAGGCAACGACCAGCCCAAGACCGUCUCGCCUCCAAGCAGCGGCAGGAAGAGGAGGAACGCCGCCCCGGCCGCGGCCUCGCCAUCGCCGACGCCGAGCAGCGCCACACGGUGCAGCCUCGUCGCCAGGAUGAACGACAGCAACAGCACGCCCGGCACGACGGCGGCGGCGCCAGAAAAGAAGCACACAGUCCUGACAUGGCUGAUCGACGCCGGCGUGCUUCAGGAGAAAGAGCAGAUCUUCUACGUGCCGGGGCCGGAGGACAAGGCGAGCAUCAACGCGAAGGUCGUGUCCGGCGCGGUGACCAGAACGGGUAUCAAGUGCAGCUGCUGCGACGGCGCGGCGGCGAUGGCGCUGCCGGCCUUCGCGUCGCACGCCGGCUCCGCGGACGGGCCCGCGGCGCCGUGGGAGAGGCUGCUGCUGAUGUCCGGCAAGCCGCUGCUGCUGUGCUUGCGGGAGGCGUGGGAUCUGGAGCGCGUGAAGAUCUUCCGCGCCGAGGAGGAGGCGCGAGCGGCGCUGGAGCAGGACCGGGAGCGGAGCGCGCAGGCGAAGAAGCGGUCGCUGCUGCUGCUCGCCAAGCAGGGGAGGAAGGGAGGAGCCCGCGCCCUCGCCGUCGACGGCGGCGGCGACCGGAGCGACGACGCGUGCGGCGUGUGCGCGGACGGCGGGCAGCUGCUGUGCUGCGACAGCUGCCCGUCCACCUUCCACCCGGAGUGCGUCGGCGUGCAGGUCCCCGACGGCUCCUGGGCCUGCCACUACUGCCGCUGCUUCCUCUGCUCCGCCAGCGACGGCGCCCCGUCCACCUGCCACCAGUGCGCCCGCAAGUAUCACAACCACUGCCGCACGUCGCUGUUCGCCGGGAACGAGAUCGGGCCCUUCUGCAGCGAAUCCUGCAACAAGGUGGAAACAGCCGCUGAAACAUACACUUUUGCUUUCAGCAAUACUCUUAUAAUUGCCGCGAAGCUGACCGAGAUGGCGGGGGUGACGAACACCGCCGAUGAAGACGGUUACUCCUGGUCCCUGUUGAAGAUCCAGAAGGACACCGGGGACUCCGCCGACGUUCUCGAGUGCAACGCGAAGCUGGCUGUGGCUCUCGGCGUGUUGGAUGAGUGCUUCAACCCUGUCAAGGACCGGCGCACCGGCAUCGACAUGCUGCACCAGGCCGUCUACAGCCUCGGGUCCGAGUUGAAGCGCCUGAGCUAUGAAGGUUUCUACACCAUGGUGCUGGAGAAGGACACAGAAAUAAUCUCGGUGGCCCUCUUAAGAUUCCAUGGCAACAAACUCGUAGAGAUGCCGUUCGCGGGCACGCUGCCGCACUACCGGAGGCAGGGGAUGAUGGGCCGCCUCGUCAAGGCCGUCGAGCAGGUGCUGGCGACGGUGCAGGUGGAGAAGCUGGUGAUUCCGGCGGUGACCGAGGUGGUCGAGACAUGGAAGAGGUCCUUCGGUUUCGCGCCCAUGGAGCCGCGGCUGAGGGAGGAGACCAAGAGGCUCAGCAUGGUCGUCGUCACCGGAACCGUCAUGCUGCAGAAGCACAUUGCCAGGCAGCAGACUGCACACGGCGACGAGGAGAACCAGGCGCCGCCGAUGACCGAGGACGAGCUGGCGUUCCUGGAGAUGAGCUGGCCGCUCUCCAGUUUCACCGACCUCGUGGCCGGGAUUGCGUUCCCGCCGCCGUCUGGUGUCGACCCGCUGGCCACCGCCGUGAGGGGGCUAGGUAUGGGUGCCCCGGGGACGGGCGGCCGGCGGUCCUGCGGCGGCGAGGCAGUGGGCUCGAGCGUGUUCCAGAUGCCUAGCUAUGCGCCUGCUGCGCACGGCGCCAGUCUACGCCUCGGCAUGAACAAAUAA